rnacentral:tRNA from 1 species
GGGCCAGUGGCGCAAUGGAUAACUCGCCUGACUACGGAUCAAGAGAUUCCAGGUUCGAAUCGUGGCUGGCUCG